UGUUAUGACCUGUAUUGAGAUAUGAGAAUGCAGAUAGUUGGAUUCACUCAUGAGGUUGCUUACUUGUAGUGGCAUAUGUCAAAAGAAGAUGUUUUUGAUCCAAAGAACAGAUUUCAUUACGGAUUGAGGUAAAAGUUUUAACGAAAAUUUACUUGCAACAAAUGAAUGUUAUCAAAUUAUUAUGAGAUUGAAGUAUAGUUUUCUACAAUUCACAAUAAAGGCUUUUGCAGUUAUUAAUUAUAAUUUAAACAUAAAUAUUUUGUCCUACAUAGUCACAAAUAGUUUAAUGUCCAAGAGUACGAGAUAAUUAGUUUUUGGACUUUGCUUUUUUAUUAUUCAGCUUCAAGGAUAAUCAAGGACUUGGCAGACACCGUGGAAGUUGAUCAAGACUGGUCACGAUUCUUUCGAGAGGACCGGCACUUAUUUACUCGCAAGAAGGUUUCGUGUUUGGGGCAGCUUUCUACACCUCUGUACCGGCAGAUUUGUAAGACUGGAAGUUGUUUCAUUGUUGAGAAAGAUGGAUAUGGUGUAUUGUUAGAAAAUAUUUUCCACUUAAAUCUUCCAGGAGCUGGAGAUGUGACUUCAUGGCAGAAACGAAUUAAUAACUGUGUUGACGGGAGGAAAAGAAACAACAGCCUGCGUACUUAUCUGGGCAUGGUCAAGGAAUUGGAUAUGAUGUGUCAGUAAAGAUUUCCCGAGAUUAAAGAGAGCACAACAGGAAUUCACGGGUGAUACUGCUUGCUAAUUUGAGCAUUAAAGAAUAUCCACACAAACGAUAGCAAGAAUCAAACUAUGCAGGACUGAUUCUUCAUGGCGGAAGAAAAAUAUAAUCGAUGUUAAACAUUUUAUUCCGGAA